GGGGGUAUAGCUCAGCUGGGAGAGCAGCAGACUGAAGUCAACCUUGUGUUCUGAAGGUCCCGCGUUCGAUCCGCGGUACCCCCA